GUGGGGAAUAUUGGACAAUGGGCGCAAGCCUGAUCCAGCCAUGCCGCGUGAGUGAUGAAGGCCCUAGGGUUGUAAAGCUCUUUUGUGCGGGAAGAUAAUGACGGUACCGCAAGAAUAAGCCCCGGCUAACUUCGUGCCAGCAGCCGCGGUAAUACGAAGGGGGCUAGCGUUGCUCGGAAUCACUGGGCGUAAAGGGUGCGUAGGCGGGUCUUUAAGUCAGGGGUGAAAUCCUGGAGCUCAACUCCAGAACUGCCUUUGAUACUGAGGAUCUUGAGUUCGGGAGAGGUGAGUGGAACUGCGAGUGUAGAGGUGAAAUUCGUAGAUAUUCGCAAGAACACCAGUGGCGAAGGCGGCUCACUGGCCCGAUACUGACGCUGAGGCACGAAAGCGUGGGGAGCAAACAGGAUUAGAUACCCUUGUAGUCC
rnacentral:rRNA from 1 species